GAAGCUUGCUUCAUGAUUCAGACCUUGGUGAGUGGCGGACGGGUGAGUAACACGUGGGUAACCUGCCCAAAAGUGGGGGAUAACAUUUGGAAACAAGUGCUAAUACCGCAUAACAACUACUUUCACAUGAUCGUAGCUUGAAAGAUGGCUCUGCUAUCGCUUUUGGAUGGACCCGCGGCGUAUUAGCUAGUUGGUGAGGUAAUAGCUCACCAAGGCAAUGAUACGUAGCCGACCUGAGAGGGUAAUCGGCCACAUUGGGACUGAGACACGGCCCAAACUCCUACGGGAGGCAGCAGUAGGGAAUCUUCCACAAUGGGCGAAAGCCUGAUGGAGCAAUGCCGCGUGAGUGAAGAAGGUUUUCGGAUCGUAAAACUCUGUUGUUGAAGAAGAACAUGCGUGAGAGUAACUGUUCACGUACUGACGGUAUUCAACCAGAAAGCCACGGCUAACUACGUGCCAGCAGCCGCGGUAAUACGUAGGUGGCAAGCGUUGUCCGGAUUUAUUGGGCGUAAAGAGAAUGUAGGCGGUUUAUUAAGUUUGAAGUGAA
rnacentral:rRNA from 1 species